GUUUUGGCUUACGAGUGACCACCAGGUACGAGGAAACGCUGAAAAGAAAAGGCUGCUCAAACGUUGCCUUGAUCAAGAUUUCCCUGUAUAUCCAAAUCUUCAAGUACAGGGAGGAAAGAUAAAACCUUUUUCACUGAGUUGCCUAAUUUCAGUGAAAACUUAUAGACAAAAUGGUGGUCCUCACAGCAUACUUCGUUGGAAGAAACAAAAAUAUGCGGGAAGAAGAUCAUUUUGUUUAUCACUUAUCCUAUCACUAACUCCUUCUUGACGCUUUGGCAACCCAUUUGUACCACGAUACUUGAGUUAGACAUUUGUAUGUACAUUUCGGUUAAAAUUGAAAAAUGUAAACUCUUUAUGUAGCUCUACAUAUAUAUUGUUACUUAGAUUCUAUUGUAAAGCAUGAAUGCUCCAAAAUUUUAGCUUUGA